CAUUAUGCCCAGCCCUAAACUUUGAUAGCCCGUUACAACCCCUAUCCGCCCGGGUACUACGAGCAUUAGCUUAAAACCCAAAGGACUUGGCGGUGCUUAACAUCCACCUAGAGGAGCCUGUUCUAGAACCGAUAACCCCCGUUAAACCUCACCCUCUCUUGUUUCUCCCGCCUAUAUACCGCCGUCGUCAGCUUACCCUGUGAGGGACCUAUAGUAAGCACAAUUGGUAAAACCCAAAACGUCAGGUCGAGGUGUAGCUAAUGAGAGGGGAAGAAAUGGGCUACAUUUCCUACUCCAGGAAAUACGGACAAUGUUCUGAAAUGGACAUUAGAAGGAGGAUUUAGUAGUAAGCAGGAAACAGAGCGUUCCGCUGAAAAUGGCCCUAAAGCGCGCACACACCGCCCGUCACUCUCCCCAAGCUAACAAAACCCUAUACCUAAAAACCCACAUCUGCAAAGGGGAGGCAAGUCGUAA
rnacentral:rRNA from 1 species